rnacentral:rRNA from 1 species
UAAGGUAGCUAUAGCAUGAGGGUUCCACCUCUUCUCCAUUCCGAACAGAGAAGUUAAGCCUUGUAGCGCCAAUGGUACUGCGUUAAUGUGGGAGAGUAGGUCGCUGCCGUUU